AUGGCUGAAUCGGCCGGCGGCGGUGAGCCCCGGCUCCCCGAGGAGCUCGUCCUCUGGGAGAUCCUGACGCGCCUGCCGGCGAGGUCCCUCCUACGGUGCCGCGCCGUCUGCACAUCCUGGCGCCGCAGCCUCACCUCCGACACGGGCCUCCUCCUCGCGCACCAUCGCCACCAGCCGGCGCUCCAGCUCGUCACCACCGGGGACGACCUGGAGGGCAGGAUCGACGCGCUGGACCCCCGCGCCGGCGAGCGCCGCCCCGUCGCCCGCACGGACCGGGCCGCCUCCCCCAUGGACCUCGUUCUGCUCGCCGCCUGCUAUAUAGGAAUGGCACGGUAUGAAUGGAACGCUCGCCUCAAUCUUAAGCGGUAA
rnacentral:rRNA from 1 species